rnacentral:sRNA from 1 species
UAGUAGAUGCACCCUGAUUCAAGCGCCCAUCACACUUUAUGAGUGUGGGCGUUUUUUU